AUUAAAUCAGUAAAACGGAAGAACAACUUGCCUCCCCAAGAUAGCAAUUUAUACUACGUAGCUCAAAGCAAAGCAUAACACUUAUCAAGCACAUACUACACUAAAACUAGCGCCAAGCAUGACAGAAGCAUUUAAUUAAUCGAUUACGUCAAGAAAAGGGGCUUUGGAUCAUUGGUAUUUAUUGGUAUUUAUUAAUCAGCCAGUAUUUAGUGAGACUCAGUUAUGAUGUAUGGGUUAUUGACCAAGUGUGAGGUCAAUAUCAAGCCAGCUUAACCGAACAAACUUGGUCAAUAAAGGAUUUACUAUGUGGCUUUCCAGGAAAUUUUUCUUCCGGGACACCGCGGGUAGUCCCUAGCGGGCAAGAUAGUAGCCAAUCACAGCGCAGGAUUUGAUUCAUCUUGCCCGCUCACGGAACUAGCCGUAUAAUAAGGCAACAUAUUGCAUUUGAAUUAACUUUCAGUCUACUGGACGUAAUGAGGGAAUUAUGAUUGUCGUCAAGAUGAGUAUUAAGAACAAGUCUGGGAUAAAUUCUACUCGUAAAUCAAUGAAGGACAGCGUUGGUGUAGUGCUUAACCCCAUUUAGCCAGGAAAAGAAGAGCGAGGGGCUCUUCGUGUCCCCAACCCUAUGAAUUACCUUAGGUGUGGCUAGGCUUUGGUAGAUUGUGCUCGAAAAAAAAGCUUAUUAUGCUUUUAGCAGUGCUCAUAUUUUUUAGAAAUUAUGCCAAAAUUAUGCUACUUUCUGAAAAUUAUGCUCUCUGUCACCGAAGUUAUGCUACUUGGAUUUUAAGGAAAAUAAAGAUCGCCAGUAGCUUAACUCUA